CAGGGAUGUCCAAGUUUUUUCUGCAGUGGGCCACUUCAUCAGAAUUCUAUACAAAAUAUGGCCUUUAAUAAAAUAUGCAGAUUAAAAUAAAGUAAAUGACACAAAA